AAAGUGCAGAGCAUACGUACCACUGAUUAUACAGACAUUAUACACUUUCUCAGGUUUUUCGGGAGAAAUGAGAGAAUUUAGAAAGCCAUUGAUAGAAACAGAGAAUUCUUAUUAUUUCGAAAGUUGAUUCUUACAAGCAAGAGAAUCCCUCCUUAUAUAGUGAGGAAAAACCACAAUCUUACAAACAGGACUUACGUGACAGCUUACUGACAGU
rnacentral:misc_RNA from 1 species